rnacentral:lncRNA from 1 species
ACAGGCUGCCAGCUGUGUUUCCUCAGCUGCAGUGCAAGUGGGGCAUGCUCCGUUGAGACUUUAUUCACUCUGGGCAGUUUGUUGAAGAUUAGGUGGUCAGCUCACAAUGAAUCAUAAGCUGCUUUUGUCCCUUGCUGUCUAUGCUUAGAAGCUAAAAGGUUAAGCAGCGAUGUCAGCGCUAUCAGGGAGCUGUGGAGACUGGAAUUGAAGUUCAGAACCUUUCAUGGGAGACAGCUCAGAGAUGACCUACCCAUAGAAGAGAAAUCUGGCAGUCUGGCCACAGCAGCUUUGCUGACCUGCAGUGGGAUCCGACCAGUUGGAACUUCCCAGCGGCUUUGUUUACACUGUGAGCUGUGGAGCAUAAAACUGCCUACUCAAGCCUCAGCAAUGGUGGACGCCCC